UACGGGAGGCAGCAGUGAGGAAUAUUGGUCAAUGGGCGCGAGCCUGAACCAGCCAAGUAGCGUGCAGGAUGACGGCCCUAUGGGUUGUAAACUGCUUUUAUGCGGGGAUAAAGUGCGCCACGUGUGGCGUUUUGUAGGUACCGCAUGAAUAAGGACCGGCUAAUUCCGUGCCAGCAGCCGCGGUAAU
rnacentral:rRNA from 1 species